CAAUAGCGUAUAUUAAAGUUGUUGCAGUUAAAAAGCUCGUAGUUGGAUUUGUGGCUGUCGCGUGCGGCCUGACACAAUGUGUUAGUGUUUGCUUGCGUCGCCAUCCUUGGGUGGAACCUGUGUGGCAUUAGGUUGUCGUGCAGGGGAUGCCCAUCGUUUACUGUGAAAAAAUUAGAGUGUUCAAAGCAGGCUUAUGCCGUUGAAUAUAUUAGCAUGGAAUAAUAAGAUAGGACCUUGGUACUAUUUUGUUGGUUUGCGCACCAAGGUAAUGAUUAAUAGGGACAGUUGGGGGUAUUCGUAUUCCAUUGUCAGAGGUGAAAUUCUUGGAUUUUUGGAAGACGAACUACUGCGAAAGCAUUUACCAAGGAUGUUUUCAUUAA
rnacentral:rRNA from 1 species